rnacentral:piRNA from 1 species
UGGGUUGACUGAGGGAACUCGAGCCCUCCCC